rnacentral:rRNA from 1 species
GAUGAACGCUGGCGGCGUGCCUAAUACAUGCAAGUCGAGCGAACGGACGAGAAGCUUGCUUCUCUGAUGUUAGCGGCGGACGGGUGAGUAACACGUGGAUAACCUACCUAUAAGACUGGGAUAACUUCGGGAAACGGAGCUUAUACCGGGAAAUAUUUUUAAACGCAAUGUUUAAAAAUGAAAGAAGGUCUUUGCUUUACCUUAAGAUGGGACCGCGCUGCAUUAGCUAGUUGGUAAGGUAACGGCUUACCAAGGCAACGAUGCAUAGCCGACCUGAGAGGGUGAUCGGCCACACUGGAACUGAGACACGGUCCAGACUCCUACUGGAGGCAGCAGUAGGGAAUCUUCCGCAAUGGGCGAAAGCCUGACGGAGCAACGCCGCGUGAGUGAUGAAGGUCUUCGGAUCGUAAAACUCUGUUAUUAGGGAAGAACAUAUGUGUAAGUAACUGUGCACAUCUUGACGGUACCUAAUCAGAAAGCCACGGCUAACUACGUG